UUGUUGACGUGAUGAGGACCUUAACCAAAAGUAUUGAAGAAACUUAACACAUACUUCAUGACCAUUUUUGUUUUCUCUUCAAAUACCUAUUGAUAUGUUUAUUCAAAUGAUAUGAGCCUAAUAAUGAAGUUACAUAUUUAAAAGGCUUUCUUCAAGUAAUGCUGCAACUUUUGGUGUUGGUGUUAUCCAGGUCUAGGUCAAACUUUAGUUUGCUUGCUUAAUUUAAUUUAAUUUCGUAUUCUGUCUGUUAUAGCAAAAGGACACAAAAAGUCUGCUUCUAUUUUCUUUUCCCCAGGUGGCAUUUGUAUCAACCUUUUCCUGUAAUAUAUUCAUUUAUUUCCUUCAUAGCUAACAUACAACUGAGGAGGAUUUUUCAUAUUUUUUUUUUUUUUGGGGCUGUUGCCACUGCUACAUGGGCUUGUGGAUAAAACUGGGCAUAUGCUUUUACCGAUUGUAAGUAAGUUGAAUGACAACAGAAUAGUGUCAUCUGAUGAUAAAUAUUUGCCGAGCUUUACUUUGCUUUUAAUUAUGUUUUCUGUUUAGUAUAAACUUUUGUUCGGAUGGUUCCUACUCAGUUGUCUCAAAGAUUUUGCUAUCCUAGAGAUUCACAAAAAAGUAUUCAAUUGGUGGAGCGGUGACUAAAGUAGCCUUAGCUUUGGGAUUGUUUGGAGAUUGAGCUGCUCCAUAGGAAGCAUUUUUCUAAAUAGUCGGUGCCUCUUUCUCCACGCAGCUGGGUUCUUGAUGCAGGUUUUGGACCUUAUUUUUAGCUUGAGGUAACCACCUUUGGACUAUUACCUUGUGCCCCUGCUGUUUGCCUCUGUCAUCUGGCUUGGUUCUAGGUUGCCCAUUUUUCGCAGGAGCUCCCUGGUCAGUGCUCUCUCUACAGACAUGUCCAUAUUUAACACAAUUGAGAAAGAAGAGUGGUCUCCCAUCAUAAAGCACUGAUUGAAGAAACACCCUCCCAGUACGGUUGUUUUUGCCAAACGCUACUAAGAAGCAGCAAGAAAGUAAAAUACAGGACAGAAAAUGCACCACAGUCUCCAUGAUGUAGAUAGUAUAGCGUGUAAAUAGUUUUCCCUUAAAUGAUUUAAAUAAUGCAGCCAUAAACAAUGCAACACUUGCCAAUCAUAAUAUCCAUGAAUGGAUACUUCAUCUUAAAAGUGU